GCCAGGAUAGCUCAAUGGUAGAGCAGCGGUUUUGUAAACCGUUGGUUGGGGGUUCGAGUCCUCUUCCUGGCU
rnacentral:tRNA from 1 species